UACUCCUACGGGAGGCAGCAGUAGGGAAUCUUCGGCAAUGGACGGAAGUCUGACCGAGCAACGCCGCGUGAGUGAAGAAGGUUUUCGGAUCGUAAAGCUCUGUUGUAAGAGAAGAACGAGUGUGAGAGUGGAAAGUUCACACUGUGACGGUAUCUUACCAGAAAGGGACGGCUAACUACGUGCCAGCAGCCGCGGUAAUACGUAGGUCCCGAGCGUUGUCCGGAUUUAUUGGGCGUAAAGCGAGCGCAGGCGGUUAGAUAAGUCUGAAGUUAAAGGCUGUGGCUUAACCAUAGUACGCUUUGGAAACUGUUUAACUUGAGUGCAAGAGGGGAGAGUGGAAUUCCAUGUGUAGCGGUGAAAUGCGUAGAUAUAUGGAGGAACACCGGUGGCGAAAGCGGCUCUCUGGCUUGUAACUGACGCUGAGGCUCGAAAGCGUGGGGAGCAAACAGGAUUAGAUACCCUGGUAGUCCACGCCGUAAACGAUGAGUGCUAGGUGUUAGACCCUUUCCGGGGUUUAGUGCCGUAGCUAACGCAUUAAGCACUCCGCCUGGGGAGUACGACCGCAAGGUUGAAACUCAAAGGAAUUGACGGA
rnacentral:rRNA from 1 species